CAACCGCGAUUGGUUUUUCUCGAAGGAUCACUUCACCUGCUUGCAAAUUUUUUGCUGCCUGCAAAUAUCUUUAGAAAUGUGAUAAGAUAAGUGAUGCACCUCAAAACACAUUUUACAAUAUAAAAAAAUAGAUUGCGAUUUGAUGAUUGUACCUGCCAAAUUUUUCUGAACGAGCAACUUUAUACUUUAAUAUAGGAGUUGCACUAGUUUUCGGCUUCUCUUCCAUAGUCAUAUUUAACUGGAACUCUUCCCGAGUAAAAUCAAAUUACAAUUAAACGAUACUAUAGUUAUUUAGAUUCGUGGGAGCCUCGUUGUAUCGUGCAUUUCAUACAGUUUGUAACUGACACCGAAAUACAGGAAGUUGUAGCGGGAGUCUUUCUUUGGUACUCUCGAUACGUUGUAUUAUUAGAAGUCAGUGUAGCGCGUGCUCGCUACAAAAUAAUGCGUGGGCAUUGUAUUAGAAAAUACAAUGUUACGUGUUUCUUUAACAUGUUCAUUAAUUAUAGCAUCCUGUCUAUCAAACUGUUCCCUUUGAUUUUGAUGAAGUAGGUAAACUAAAAUUUCAUUAUUUUAAACUUCAAAAAAUGGGGAUUUUCGAGCGAAAUAGGAAGAUGGAAUAUUUGUUAAUUGAAUACAUAUGUAUAGUGCAGCCUCGUCGAUCACUCCGGCGUUCCAUUGUGUUUUUGCUGUGAACAACAACGGUGCGUGGAGCUCGUAUAACGUCAUACCUGGAAGAACAGAAAAAAUAUCUAUUAAACGUCAUUAUCUAAUUAAGUAAAUCAAUGAUCUUAAUAAAAAGUAAAAAGAGCAAUGAAGAAUAAUAAAAAGUGAGCUGCACCUCUUA